GCCUAGAUGAUCUUCGGUGGUCCGGGGUGCAGGCUUCAAAUGAGAUGGAAGUUACCUGUAGCUGACUAGCGUCAGAGUAGUUCGAUUCUACCUUCUGGGCG
rnacentral:tRNA from 1 species